GAGGAAAAGAAACCAACUGGGAUUACCUUAGUAACGGCGAGUGAAGCGGUAAAAGCUCAAAUUUGAAAUCUGGUACUUUCAGUGCCCGAGUUGUAAUUUGUAGAAUUUGUCUUUGAUUAGGUCCUUGUCUAUGUUCCUUGGAACAGGACGUCAUAGAGGGUGAGAAUCCCGUUUGGCGAGGAUACCUUUUCUCUGUAAGACUUUUUCGAAGAGUCGAGUUGUUUGGGAAUGCAGCUCAAAGUGGGUGGUAAAUUCCAUCUAAAGCUAAAUAUUGGCGAGAGACCGAUAGCGAACAAGUACAGUGAUGGAAAGAUGAAAAGAACUUUGAAAAGAGAGUGAAAAAGUACGUGAAAUUGUUGAAAGGGAAGGGCAUUUGAUCAGACAUGGUGUUUUUUGCAUGCACUCGCCUCUCGUGGGCUUGGGCCUCUCAAAAAUUUCACUGGGCCAACAUCAAUUCUGGCAGCAGGAUAAAUCAUUAAGAAUGUAGCUACUUCGGUAGUGUUAUAGCUUUUUGGAAUACUGUUAGCCGGGAUUGAGGACUGCGCUUCGGCAAGGAUGUUGGCAUAAUGGUUAAAUGCCGCCCG
rnacentral:rRNA from 1 species